rnacentral:rRNA from 1 species
CCCUUAGAUGUUCUGGGCUGCACGCGCGCUACACUGAUGCACUCAACGAGUUUACGACCUUGCCCGAUAGGGUUGGGUAAUCUUUUUAAAAUGCAUCGUGAUGGGGAUAGAUUAUUGCAAUUAUUAAUCUUCAACGAGGAAUUCCUAGUAAGCGCGAGUCAUCAGCUCGUGCUGAUUACGUCCCUGCCCUUUGUACACACCGCCCGUCGCUCCUACCGAUUGAGUGCUCAGGUGAGCCAUUCGGACUUUCAUCAUGCUGGUUUCCAGUUUUGAUGAAGGAAAGUCUUGCGAACCUUAUCAUUUAGAGGAAGGAGAAGUCGUAACA